rnacentral:lncRNA from 10 species
GCAGUGGCGCAAUCUCGGCUCACUGCAACCUCUCCCUCCCGGAUUCAAGUGAUUCUCGUGCCUCAGCCUCCCCUAAGAUUAGAUUUAACCUAUUCAACUUGACGUUCAGGUUAUUUGCAAUAUGCCCAUCAUAUUUUCAGCCUGCAUAUCCCAGUACUUCUUUAGAGAUAGAGUCUCACUAAAUUUCCUGGACUGACGUCAAACUCCUGCCUUGGCCUUCCAAAAUGCUGGGAUUGCAGACAUGAGCCAGUGUGUCCGGGAAAGGAUUGUGAGGCCUUGAUGAUAAGUAAUGAUAUCACUCAAUAUAGCACAGAAUGCCUCUGACACCAAAUGUGUGAAGUUUUUCCCCACACAACAACCCCCAGUCUCCAUCCUGAAGCUAUCUGGGAGCCCCCAGCCACCAGG